AAUCGUGGAUCGAUUGACCCUCGUAGCAGAUCCUGUAGAUGGUUGUAAAUAAUGGAAACCUAAAAGAAGUGCAUAGCAAUGAAAAUAGAAUCUUGUAGACUUCGGCCGAGGUCUGAGGUCCUUGCAGCUUUUGUCCGUUCAGCAACUCAUUUUCCAGUUCCUCAAUGGACUAGAAGAGAGGAGACUGAUUACUUGGAUCAGAGGGGAUACCGCUGCAAUACCAGCAGUUAUCAAGAAGAUUGGAAAAUUGGCACACGAACAUCUCAUCUGUGCUCACUCAUCAUAUGGUGGCAUGACUCAUGUUAGACCCUGUGGCUUACAGAAGACUCAGGUGAGGGUAGAAUUUGGCCCUAAAAAAACCAUUUUGGUUUAAAA